rnacentral:rRNA from 1 species
GAUGAACGCUGGCGGCGUGCCUAAUACAUGCAAGUCGAGCGAAUGGAUUAAGAGCUUGCUCUUAUGAAGUUAGCGGCGGACGGGUGAGUAACACGUGGGUAACCUGCCCAUAAGACUGGGAUAACUCCGGGAAACGGGGGCUAAUACCGGAUAACAUUUUGAACCGCAUGGUUCGAAAUUGAAAGGCGGCUUCGGCUGUCACUUAUGGAUGGACCCGCGUCGCAUUAGCUAGUUGGUGAGGUAACGGCUCACCAAGGCAACGAUGCGUAGCCGACCUGAGAGGGUGACCGGCCACACUGGGACUGAGACACGGCCCAGACUCCUACGGGAGGCAGCAGUAGGGAAUCUCCCGCAAUGGACGAAAGUCUGACGGAGCAACGCCGCGUGAGUGAUGAAGGCUUUCGGGUCGUAAAACUCUGUUGUUAGGGAAGAACAAGUGCUAGUUGAAUAAGCUGGCACCUUGACGGUACCUAACCAGAAAGCCACGGCUAACUACGUGCCAGCAGCCGCAGUAA